AUGGUUCACGAUGGCGCCGUGAAGGACCAGCAGCAGCACCAGCGGGAGGAGAGGUCGCCGGAUACCCCCGCGCCCUCUGCAUCUGCGGUGACGGACGCGUCCGCGGCGGCGGCGGUGGUAGCGGAGGCGGGGGCGGCGAGAGCGGGGGAGGGGGAGGCGGCAGUAGGGGCGGGGCCGUCCAAGCCCGGGAGCGACAAGCGGCUGGGCGUGCGGCACCCGGUCAAGUACCGCCGGUUCCGGGCCAAGGGGAAGGCGAUGGCGGAGCCCGGGGCCACCCCCGCGCACCAGCCGCUGGAGGAGGAGCUGGAGCUGGAGUUGGAGGAGGGCGAGGGGGAGGUCGAGGAGGAGGCCUCCUCGCCCGAGCGGGAGGUGCGGGCCGGCGUCGUGGAGGUGGAGGUCGAGGUGGAGAUGGAGGUGGAGGUGUCCUCCGCAGCAGCGGCAGCAGCAGUAGGGAUGGAGGUGGAGGAGGGGGCCGGCAUGGACGUGUCGCCGGCUGCGGCCGUGGCCAUGGUGGACUCGGAGCACUCGUCCGAGGAGGAGGAGGAGGAGGAGGUGUCGUCGUCGCCGGUGCUGGCGCUGCCGGAGCAGGCGAGGAGGACGCAAGGGCAUGCUGUGGCCGCUGCCGUGCCCGCCCUGGUCGUGCCCAAGGACCAGGACCUGGAGAAGGAGAAGAAGGAGAAGGAGAGGCAGAGGGAGAGGGACAGGGUCGACGAGGUCGGCUACAUGAGCGGCGGCUGCAAGAGUGAUGAUGGAAGUUUGAGUUGUGGAUAUUCAAGUUUUAGAGGAAAAAGGGCAACCAUGGAAGACUUCUUUGACAUAAAAUCAUCUAAAAUUGAUGAUAAACAAAUAAAUCUCUUUGGAAUAUUUGAUGGUCAUGGGGGUUCACGUGCUGCUGAGUAUUUGAAGGAGCACUUGUUUGAGAACCUCAUGAAACACCCACAAUUCAUGUCAGAUACAAAAUUAGCAAUAAGUGAAACAUAUAAAAAAACUGAUUCAGAUUUCUUGGAUUCUGAAAUCAACACUCACAGAGAUGAUGGGUCAACUGCAUCGACAGCAGUUCUGCUUGGAAAUCAUCUUUACGUGGCUAACGUAGGUGACUCUCGGGCUGUAAUAUCAAAGUCGGGCAAAGCUAUUGCACUCUCUGAUGAUCACAAGCCGAACAGAAGUGAUGAGAGGAAACGAAUUGAGAGUGCUGGUGGGAUUGUUAUGUGGGCUGGAACUUGGAGGGUUGGUGGUGUACUUGCAAUGUCUCGGGCGUUUGGCAACCGCUUGUUGAAGCAAUUUGUUGUCGCGGAACCAGAGAUUCAGGAUCAAGAAAUAGAUGAUGAAAUGGAGUUUCUGAUUUUGGCUAGUGAUGGGCUGUGGGAUGUGGUUCCAAAUGAGGACGCCGUCUCGCUCGUGAAGAUGGAGGAGGACCCCGAGGCGGCGGCCAGGAAGCUGACGGAGACCGCGUUCGGCCGUGGGAGCGGCGACAACAUCACCUGCGUCGUCGUCAAGUUCCAGCACAGCAAGGCGGCGGGCGAUCAAAUCUGA
rnacentral:rRNA from 1 species